GGGGGAAAGCGGCAAAAACCUAAUGUUAUGUAGAAAUGUCUAAUUCAAAACACACAUGUAACAUAAUGCCAUACCAAAUACCUAAAACGUCUAAUGCAAAAAACAAAAUACAAGAAACCUCUAAUACAAAAUACCUCAUACGUCUAUUGCAAAAGACAAAAUACAAGAAACCUCUAAUAAAAAAUACAUAUAACCUCUUAUGCACAAUUGAUUUUACAAUCUGAAACAUCUACCAUAAGCAUUAGAUGACAUAUCUCGCUGUCAUUAACUACGUUUCUCCACUGAAUUAUCUUUAUUUAGGUCAAUGUCAAGGUCGAACUAUUUUCUAAUCGACACAAUGAUUUCUCCCAAACGAAGGGAGCUAACUCUAGUUUAUUGUUCUCGUCAUGGCUGUCGAAAUUAUCAGCGAACUCAAACGACUGAUAACAAAUUUAGCUUAUAAACUUGAAAGUAGGCAAUCCAUAGAGUAUGUUGCAAGAGAAUUAGACAUGGUGUCUGGUAUCUUGUCAGAGGUAUCGGUGGAGUUUGAAGAUUCUCAAAUAGACCAUGCCAUGCAAUGUUUGUCUUCUGCAUCUGAUCUUGUGAAUACCAUGCUUCAAGUUGAAGUUCAACAACAAGCGCAAGGAGACUCUUUUGGAGUACAACCAACUUAUGUGUACGGGAAAACGGGCAGGCCAAAGACUGAAAUACCAUUGAGCCAGCUGGAAUUUUUGAUAGAGUGUAAUUUCAAGCAGAAAGAUAUUGCCGAACUUUUUGGAAUUAGUGUCAGAACCUUGAGGACAAGGCUUUCAGAGUAUGGCAUCAAAUAUGGAAAUAAAUUCAGUACAAUAUCUGAUGAAGAACUGGAUGUAAAAACUGAGCAGAUAUUAAUAAACCAUCCAGAUGUUGGCUAUAGAUCUGUGAGGGCAUACUUACUUAGACAAUGUUCAAGAAAUAAGGGUUCGUGAAUCUGUGAGAAGAGUGGAUUUAGAAGGGUGUAUAUUGCGGCAUCUGACCAUUUUGAAACCAAACCGACGCAAAUAUAAUGUGAGAGCGCCAAACUCCUUAUGGCAUAUUGAUGGCUACCAUAAGCUCAUCAGUUGGAGAAUGGUCAUCCAUGGUGGAAUAGACGGUUUCUCCAGAUUACCUGUAUAUUUAACAGUUUCUGAUAAUAACAGGUCUGAGACUGUGGUUCAGAGUUUUAUGGAAGCGGUCACAGUGUAUGGUAUUCCGCAAAGAGUUAGAUCUGACAAAGGCGGUGAAAAUGUUCUUGUUGCCAAAUUUAUGGUUGAACAAAAGGGAGUAGGAAGAGGCAGCCAUAUAACUGGACGCAGCGUUCACAACCAAAGAAUUGAGCGAUUUUGGCGAGAUGUGUGGACAGGCUGCAUUGGAUUAUUUUAUAAUUUAUUUUGCUCAAUGGAGAACCAAGGUAUUCUAAUACCUACUGAUGAACUACAUCUUUAUGCCCUGCACUAUGUUUUUUUACCAAGAAUUCAGAACCACCUUGAUUUUUUUAGAAAUGCCUUUAUGAGACGGCCAUUGAGAACUGCCCAAUGCCAAUCUCCAAUUCAGAUGUGGACAUAUGGUCAAAUGCUAAAUCCAUCUGAAACUUUGACACAUGAGAAUAUUCAAGACUUUGGAGUGAAUCGAGAAGGAUUAUGGACUGGGAAUGAACCUGAUUGUGUUGAGAUUCCCCAGAACUCUUGUAUCAUUCUUGAUGAUGUUGAAGAAGAAUUAAGAAACCAUGUUGACCCACUACAAGCAUCCGAUUCUCAUGGAAUUGAUCUGUUUUGCAAAACUGUUCACUUUCUUACAAGUAAAAUUGAUUUAUCGGAUCAAUAAUUAUGUGCUGCAGGCCAAAAAUAAAAAAUCUGGUCUUUCAUUAUGAGAGUAGUUAUUUAUAUUAUUAUUAUUUUAUUAUGAUUUGUCCCAUGCUUAGGGGGCCCGGUGUGGCCGAGUGGUUAUGACACUUGCCGCUCAUGCUGGAGGUCCCGGGUUCGCAUCCCGUCGAGGUCAACCUUGUGGAUUUUUCCGACUGGGUUCCCCCUUGUCAGUUGAGGGCUUACAUGGAAAAACGUUCUAGUCCAUCGGAGACAACGAUAAACGGAGUCCCGUGUUCAUUCGAUAGAGCACGUUAAAGACACCUCAGCAGUUAAAAUCGGUUGUAAGAGUAGGCCAUGUGCCGCUGCCCUUGGCAAAAUUCACCCUCAUUGCACACACUUGGCAUAUGCCCGUCUCUAAUUAGCCUUACAGUGCAUAAAAAUGGGAUGUUAAACUCCAUCUCAUUUCAUUUCAUUUCUGUCCCAUGCUUAGAUUAGAGACUUGAGAAACAAUUUCUUGCCAAAUAGCUUAACCAAAUUCCCAUCAUCUGAAAAUUUAAAGUAUCUUUUUUCAAGUGUGAAUCAUCAGAAAAACUUAGCUCUAUACAUUAAAAAAGCAUUAGUAUUUAGGCGAGAGAUGCUAACCCUGUGAGUAGUAAGAAUCCUAAUGCCAUACUGUUGUAAAACACCAGAGUUGAAAGCCUGUAAAUCACUACAUGUGUUACUUACACCAAUUGCUUAAGAUAAAGCUUCAAAAGUGUCAAAACUCUUGACCUUUAUUAAAUGUGAUGUUUAUGGCAAUGAGUAUAGUAUGGUAAAACUUCUAUCAAACCAUUAAAUGUGAUAAUUGUGGUAAAGUAUAUGUUAUGAUUAAACUUUUAACAAGUCAUUAAAUGUGAUAUUUAUGGUAAAUUUAUAUAUAUGGUUUAAACUCUAGCAAAGCAUUAAAUGUGUUGUUUAUGGUAAAGAGUAGGAUAUGGUUAAACUUCCAGCAAAUCAUUAAAUGUGAUGUUUGUGGUAAAGAGUAUAUGAUUAAACUUCUAUCAAGCCAUUAAAUGUGAUAUAUAUGGUAAAUGAAUAUGAUAUGGUUUAAACUCUACCAAACCAUUGAAUGUGUUUGUGACAAAGGGUGUAAUAUGGUUGAACUUCUAGCAAACCAUUAAAUGUGAUGUUUACGGUAAAGGGUACAAUAUAGUUAAACCACUAGCAAAGCAUUAAAUGUGAUGUUCAUGGUAAAGAGUACAAUAUGGUUAAACUUCUUGCAAACCAUUAAACGUUUUGUUUGUAGUAAAAAGUAUAAUAUGGAUAAACUUCUAGUGAACAAUUAAAUGUGAUGUUUGUGGUAAAGAGUACAAUCUGGUUGAACUUCUAGUAAAUCAUUAAAUGCGAUGUUUGUGAUAAAGAGUAUGAUCUGGUUAAACGUCUAUAAAACCACGAAAUGCGAUAUUUGUGAUAAAGAGUAUGAUAUGUUUAAACUUCUAGCAAAUCACUAAAUAUGAGGUUUGUAGUAAAGGGUAUGGCUUGAUUGAACUUAUAGCAAACCAUUAAAAGUGAUGUUUGUUUGGUUAAACUUCUAGCAAACCAUUAAAUAUGAUGUUUGUGGUAUAUAGUAUGAUACGGCGAAACCUCUAGCAAACUAUUAAAUGUGAUGUAUAUGGUGAAGAGUACGAUAUGGUUAACCUUCCUGCAAACCAUUAUAUGUCAUGUUUGUAAUAUAGAGUAUGAUACUUCUUGCUUGUGGCGAAGUAUUUGUUAUCACUAAAAUUCUAUUCAAAUGUGAUGUUUGUGGAAGGUUAUUGUUACUGCUAAUCUUCUUUUGAUUCAUCUAAUUGUCCAGCCAUGCAUUAUAUUUCUAUACAAGAUGUAAACUUUGUAAAUGUUCAUUAUUUAUGCCAUGUGUAUAACUGUAUAUAAUUUAUUUAUCAAUUAUCAUGUAUAAGGGGCCAACGGCCUAAAAGUACAAAUAAACUAUUCUU